rnacentral:rRNA from 1 species
GUUACAAGUGUCACACGGUACCUGCCGGUCGUUAAGCCGGAGGAAGGUGGGGAUGACGUCAAGUCAGCAUGGCCUUUAUGUCCUGGGCUACACACACGCUACAAUGGCCAACACAAUAGGUUGCUAAGCCGCGAGGUGGAGCCAAUCCUCAAAGUUGGUCUCAGUUCAGAUUGCAGGCUGCAACCCGCCUGCAUGAAGAUGGAGUUGCUAGUAACCGCAGGUCAGCUAUACUGCGGUGAAUACGUUCCCGGGGCUU